rnacentral:rRNA from 1 species
UCUUAACUGGGCGUUAAGUUGCAGGGUAUAGACCCGAAACCCGGUGAUCUAGCCAUGGGCAGGUUGAAGGUUGGGUAACACUAACUGGAGGACCGAACCGACUAAUGUUGAAAAAUUAGCGGAUGACUUGUGGCUGGGGGUGAAAGGCCAAUCAAACCGGGAGAUAGCUGGUUCUCCCCGAAAGCUAUUUAGGUAGCGCCUCGUGAAUUCAUCUCCGGGGGUAGAGCACUGUUUCGGCAAGGGGGUCAUCCCGACUUACCAACCCGAUGCAAACUGCGAAUACCGGAGAAUGUUAUCACGGGAGACACACGGCGGGUGCUAACGUCCGUCGUGAAGAGGGAAACAACCCAGACCGCCAGCUAAGGUCCCAAAGUCAUGGUUAAGUGGGAAACGAUGUGGGAAGGCCCAGACAGCCAGGAUGUUGGCUUAGAAGCAGCCAUCAUUUAAAGAAAGCGUAAUAGCUCACUGGUCGAGUCGGCCUGCGCGGAAGAUGUAACGGGGCUAAACCAUGCACCGAAGCUGCGGCAGCGACGCUUAUGCGUUGUUGGGUAGGGGAGCGUUCUGUAAGCCUGUGAAGGUGUGCUGUGAGGCAUGCUGGAGGUAUCAGAAGUGCGAAUGCUGACAUAAGUAACGAUAAAGCGGGUGAAAAGCCCGCUCGCCGGAAGACCAAGGGUUCCUGUCCAACGUUAAUCGGGGCAGGGUGAGUCGACCCCUAAGGCGAGGCCGAAAGGCGUAGUCGAUGGGAAACAGGUUAAUAUUCCUGUACUUGGUGUUACUGCGAAGGGGGGACGGAGAAGGCUAUGUUGGCCGGGCGACGGUUGUCCCGGUUUAAGCGUGUAGGCUGGUUUUCCAGGCAAAUCCGGAAAAUCAAGGCUGAGGCGUGAUGACGAGGCACUACGGUGCUGAAGCAACAAAUGCCCUGCUUCCAGGAAAAGCCUCUAAGCAUCAGGUAACAUCAAAUCGUACCCCAAACCGACACAGGUGGUCAGGUAGAGAAUACCAAGGCGCUUGAGAGAACUCGGGUGAAGGAACUAGGCAAAAUGGUGCCGUAACUUCGGGAGAAGGCACGCUGAUAUGUAGGUGAAGUCCCUCGCGGAUGGAGCUGAAAUCAGUCGAAGAUACCAGCUGGCUGCAACUGUUUAUUAAAAACACAGCACUGUGCAAACACGAAAGUGGACGUAUACGGUGUGACGCCUGCCCGGUGCCGGAAGGUUAAUUGAUGGGGUCAGCGCAAGCGAAGCUCUUGAUCGAAGCCCCGGUAAACGGCGGCCGUAACUAUAACGGUCCUAAGGUAGCGAAAUUCCUUGUCGGGUAAGUUCCGACCUGCACGAAUGGCGUAAUGAUGGCCAGGCUGUCUCCACCCGAGACUCAGUGAAAUUGAACUCGCUGUGAAGAUGCAGUGUACCCGCGGCAAGACGGAAAGACCCCGUGAACCUUUACUAUAGCUUGACACUGAACAUUGAGCCUUGAUGUGUAGGAUAGGUGGGAGGCUUAGAAGUGUGGACGCCAGUCUGCAUGGAGCCGACCUUGAAAUACCACCCUUUAAUGUUUGAUGUUCUAACGUUGACCCGUAAU